rnacentral:rRNA from 1 species
UACGAGGGGUGCAAGCGUUGCUCGGAAUUAUUGGGCGUAAAGGGUAGGUAGGUGGUCUCAUUUGUCUGGGGUGAAAUCCAUUGAGCUUAACGUCAAGAAGUGCCCCAGAAACGGUGAGACUUGAGUACUGGAGAGGGUCGUGGGAAUUCCCGGUGUAGCGGUGAAAUGCGUAGAGAUCGGGAGGAACACCAGCGGCGAAGGCGGCGACCUGGACAGUAACUGACACUCGAAUUACGAAAGCGUGGGGAGCGAAACAAGGAUUGAUGAAACC